rnacentral:rRNA from 1 species
AUGAGGGUCUUUCCGAUCUUUCCGGCGGGGUGGUUUGACGCGUACUGGUCCCUGGUGAGGCGGCGCGCCUCCAUGAUGGCGGCGACGACGGUGUCGCCGAAGACCAUCUGUAUGGCGGUGGAGGUGACGGGCGCGAGGCCGAAGGGACAGACCUCCCCCUGCAGCGGGAGGUGCACGUUGAGGUCGCAGGCGGCGGCGAGCGGGCAGUCGGAGCCGGAGGCCGCGGAGGUGAGGGAGAUGAGCUGCGCGCCCUUGGCGCGCGCGCAGGGGGCGAGCGCGAGCAGCUCGUCGGAGGCGCCGGACUUGGAGAGCAGCACGAGGACGUCCCCGGGGAAGACGGAGCCGAUGUCGCCGUGGAGCGCGUCGACGGGGGAGAGGAACCCGGCGCGUGCGAAGCCGAGGGAGGCGAGCGUCUGCGCCAGCUUGCGGGCCACGAUGCCGGACUUGCCGACGCCGGUGAAGAAGACGGCCCCGGGCGCGUCGAGCAGCGCCUGCGCGAACGCCGCCGCCUGCGGCAUGUCGAGCCGGUCGAAGAAGUGGUCGAGGUGGCGGCGCUGCGCGUCGAAGAGCGCGGCCAGGUCCGACGCCGCCACCGUCGCCCGCGUCCCCUCCGUCGGCGGCGGCGCGCAUUCCGCCGGGGAGAGCACCGGGAGCGAGCCCAUGGCGGCGCGCGGAAGGUGCUCGCGGAAAUGCCGCGGCGGCGAGGAGGGAUUCUCUCUACGGUGA